rnacentral:miRNA from 1 species
UCAGAUUCUGUCUAAAGGGGUUUUUUGGGAAGACGUUUUCUUUAUCGCCCUGAGAAGAUCUACCCCAGGGAGAAUCUGAGA